rnacentral:piRNA from 1 species
GAGCUUAGGGAGUAAGUGGAAGUCUGA